rnacentral:rRNA from 1 species
GACGAACGCUGGCGGCGUGCCUAAUACAUGCAAGUUGAGCGCUGAAGGUUGGUACUUGUACCAACUGGAUGAGCAGCGAACGGGUGAGUAACGCGUGGGGAAUCUGCCUUUGAGCGGGGGACAACAUUUGGAAACGAAUGCUAAUACCGCAUAAAAACUUUAAACACAAGUUUUAAGUUUGAAAGAUGCAAUUGCAUCACUCAAAGAUGAUCCCGCGUUGUAUUAGCUAGUUGGUGAGGUAAAGGCUCACCAAGGCGAUGAUACAUAGCCGACCUGAGAGGGUGAUCGGCCACAUUGGGACUGAGACACGGCCCAAACUCCUACGGGAGUCAGCAGUAGGGAAUCUUCGGCAAUGGACGAAAGUCUGACCGAGCAACGCCGCGGGAGUGAAGAAGGUUUUCGGAUCGUAAAACUCUGUUGGUAGAGAAGAACGUUGGUGAGAGUGGAAAGCUCAUCAAGUGACGGUAACUACCCAGAAAGGGACGGCUAACUACGUG